rnacentral:rRNA from 1 species
GCGGAGGNCAUUAUCAAAGUUUCGAGCAUGGGAGGAAGAUUGUUUAUUGGGGGUACUGUCGCUGGCUUUCUUUCCGGAGAGCAUCUGCACGUCUUUCUUUGCUUUCUGUCAACCUCUCUUGCUCACUCAUACACACACCUGUGCACCUACUGUAGGUUCUCGAAAGAGAAUCUAUGUUUUUUACAUCACACCUAUCGUAUGUCUAGAAUGUAUUUGAUUACUUGUCAAUUAGGCUUGUCCUGGUUGCCAAGGUCAAUAAACUAUUACAACUUUCAGCAACGGAUCUCUUGGCUCUCGCAUCGAUGAAGAACGCAGCGAAUUGCGAUAAGUAAUGUGAAUUGCAGAUUUCCAGUGAAUCAUCGAAUCUUUGAACGCACCUUGCGCUCCUUGGUAUUCCGAGGAGCAUGCCUGUUUGAGUGUCAUUGAAUUCUCAACCAUGUCUUGUUGAUCUCAACUUGCACAUGGCUUGGACUUGGGGGUUGCUGGCAGCCACAAGGCCAUCAGCUCUCCUGAAAUGCAUUAGCAAAGGAUGUGCUAGUCUUUGGACGUGCACGGCCUUCGACGUGAUAAUGAUCGUCGUGGCUGGAGCGUCUCUUCCGGACCAUGCAUACAUCAUCCCCUUUGCUUCUAAUCCAGUUCAGAUCUGCUUGCCUCGCCUUAGAUAAUGUCAAGCGCUUAGCUACUAGUCGGUCGUAAAAGGCUGGCGAACGCGGCAAACAUUUUGUAGGGCUUUCAAGCAUUUCACUCUUUCAAUCUUGACCUCAAAUCAGGUAGGACUACCCGCUGAACUUAAGCAUAUCAUAA